rnacentral:rRNA from 1 species
UACAGAGGUCUCAAGCGUUGUUCGGAUUCAUUGGGCGUAAAGGGUGUGUAGGUGGCGCCGUAAGUCGGGUGUGAAAUUUCGGAGCUUAACUCCGAAACUGCAUUCGAUACUGCGGUGCUUGAGGACUGGAGAGGAGACUGGAAUUCAUGGUGUAGCAGUGAAAUGCGUAGAGAUCAUGAGGAAGACCAGUGGCGAAGGCGGGUCUCUGGACAGUUCCUGGACACUGAGGCACGAAGGCCAGGGGAGCAAACGGG